UACGUAGGAGACGAGCGUUGUCCGGAGUUACUGGGCGUAAAGGGUGCGCAGGUGGCGGCGCGCGUGGGGGGUGAAAUCGCCCGGCUUAACUGGGCGGGGGCCUUCCAGACGGCGUGGCUUGAGCAGCGGAGGGGGACGUGGAAUUCCGGGUGGAGUGGUGAAAUGCGUAGAGAUCCGGAGGAACACCAAAGGCGAAGGCAGUGUCCUGGGGAGUACCUGACGCUCAGGUGCGAAAGCCAGGGGAGCGAACGGG
rnacentral:rRNA from 1 species